rnacentral:lncRNA from 1 species
GUAACAUACCGGAUUUUUAAUUUAAAAGUGAAUGUAAAUAAAAAUAGUGUGAGAUACUACAUUUAUUGGAUUUAAAGAGGUAAAAUAUAAGUCUGGAAUGACUCGUGCUGAAAUCGGAACGAAAACAGAAAAUUUAGAAUUUUCUGUGAGAAACGGAGCUGAUAUUUUAGCAGAAAAUGCACAAUGUUAGAAAAUUAUGAAAACAGGAGAAUAUGUCAAACUUAUUUUUAUGAGGUUAGAUUUAAAGUUUCAUGUCAUUCUGACACCCGGAAGGUGGAAAAAUAAAAUCCGACUGCUAUCUGCUAGAGAUUACAGUUCGGUAGAACUUUCGGUGACCAAACGGGGGCGAAACUGAAAGAUUAAAAUUUCUUUCAUUAAGUUAAGUAAAACCGAGCCUGACUAUCAAAUUUGAGCUCAAACGGAUAUUCAGAAGGGCAGGCGAAAAUUAUAUGUACUUGAGUUGAUAAACCGAAAUUAAAUUGUGUAUUGUUGAGGGGGCUAUUGUGUAACAAAAGGAGCUUUU